UACGAAGGGUGCAAACGUUGCUCGGAAUCAUUGGGCGUAAAGCGCACGUAGGCGGCUUCGCAAGUCGGAUGUGAAAUCCCUCGGCUCAACCGAGGACGUGCACCCGAAACUGCGAGGCUUGAGUACUGAAGAGGAUCGCGGAAUUCCCGGUGUAGAGGUGAAAUUCGUAGAUAUCGGGAGGAACACCAGUGGCGAAGGCGGCGAUCUGGGCAGUUACUGACACUGAGGCGCGACAGCGUGGGGAGCAAACAGGG
rnacentral:rRNA from 1 species